UAUCCGGAUCGAGGACAGUGUAUGGUGGGUAGUUUGACUGGGGCGGUCUCCUCCCAAAGAGUAACGGAGGAGUACGAAGGUGCGCUCAGACCGGUCGGAAAUCGGUCGUAGAGUAUAAAGGCAAAAGCGCGCUUGACUGCGAGACACACACGUCGAGCAGGUACGAAAGUAGGUCUUAGUGAUCCGGUGGUUCUGUAUGGAAGGGCCAUCGCUCAACGGAUAAAAGGUACUCCGGGGAUAACAGGCUGAUACCGCCCAAGAGUUCAUAUCGACGGCGGUGUUUGGCACCUCGAUGUCGGCUCAUCACAUCCUGGGGCUGAAGCCGGUCCCAAGGGUAUGGCUGUUCGCCAUUUAAAGUGGUACGCGAGCUGGGUUUAGAACGUCGUGAGACAGUUCGGUCCCUAUCUGCCGUGGACGUUUGAGAUUUGAGAGGGGCUGCUCCUAGUACGAGAGGACCGGAGUGGACGAACCUCUGGUGUUCCGGUUGUCACGCCAGUGGCAUUGCCGGGUAGCUAUGUUCGGAAGAGAUAACCGCUGAAAGCAUCUAAGCGGGAAACUUGCCUCAAGAUGAGAUCUCACUGGGAUCUUGAAUCCCCUAAAGGGCCGUCGAAGACUACGACGUUGAUAGGUUGGGUGUGUAAGCGCUGUGAGGCGUUGAGCUAACCAAUACUAAUUGCCCGUGAGGCUUGACCAUA
rnacentral:rRNA from 1 species